AUUGAACGCUGGCGGCAGGCCUAACACAUGCAAGUCGAACGGUAACGGGAAGAAGCUUGCUUCUUUGCUGACGAGUGGCGGACGGGUGAGUAAUGUCUGGGAAACUGCCUGAUGGAGGGGGAUAACUACUGGAAACGGUAGCUAAUACCGCAUAACGUCGCAAGACCAAAGAGGGGGACCUUCGGGCCUCUUGCCAUCGGAUGUGCCCAGAUGGGAUUAGCUAGUAGGUGGGGUAACGGCUCACCUAGGCGACGAUCCCUAGCUGGUCUGAGAGGAUGACCAGCCACACUGGAACUGAGACACGGUCCAGACUCCUACGGGAGGCAGCAGUGGGGAAUAUUGCACAAUGGGCGCAAGCCUGAUGCAGCCAUGCCGCGUGUAUGAAGAAGGCCUUCGGGUUGUAAAGUACUUUCAGCGGGGAGGAAGGGAGUAAAGUUAAUACCUUUGCUCAUUGACGUUACCCGCAGAAGAAGCACCGGCUAACUCCGUG
rnacentral:rRNA from 1 species